UACGUAGGGGGCAAGCGUUGUCCGGAUUUAUUGGGCGUAAAGAGCGUGUAGGCGGCCCGGUAAGUCCGCUGUGAAAGUCGGGGGCUCAACCCUCGAAUGCCGGUGGAUACUGUCGGGCUAGAGUGCGGAAGAGGCGAGUGGAAUUCCUGGUGUAGCGGUGAAAUGCGCAGAUAUCAGGAGGAACACCAAUUGCGAAGGCAGCUCGCUGGGACGGUACUGACGCUGAGACGCGAAAGCUAGGGGAGCAAACGGG
rnacentral:rRNA from 1 species